ensembl:lncRNA
GUGAUAGUGAGAUGAUUUCAGGGUUGUGUAGUGACUGACAAUUAGCUAGAAUUUUUUUUGUCCUCUGUAAUUGUUAUGAAACAAUUAUUUAUAGCCAAAUGUUCAAGUAUCGGUCACUGUAAUGUAUCCACUAGUCUAGGUCUGAUCCCAAACGACGUCGUCACCUCAGGUCACUAUUACAUCAGAAGGGACGCUUCCUGUUAUUAUGACAUCACCUCCAGUACCGUUAGCAGAGUCGGUGGGUUUACUGUAUGCGAUGUUUUUAAAUGUUCUGCCGAGUCACUACUGAGACGAAUCAUGGGAAACCGACGGAGGAAGAGAGGGCGAGAACACAAAGAUUCUUACGGGAUUAAGAUCUCUGAGCUGCUGACCCAACUGGCUGUGAGAACCACACCCCCUAAUGGGCCCCUCCCCCGUAACAUCAGCCUCCUCCCCUCCUUCACCCUCCCCGCAGUCCGAGAAACGACCGACACCACCCGCUCCAAGGCCCAGCUCCCAGAAUGCAUCACGAGACUCUCAGACACCCAGUGUCGGAAGUGGUACCACCAGAGACCAGCCACGCCCUUCUCCUCCUCUACCCCCACGCCAGCCCUUAACCCUAGGCCUGCCCCCAACACCCCGGGACACACCACUGGUCUCGCCUCCACCAAUAGCAGCCAACCAAGGAGCAAGAGACCCAGCCUGGUUUCCCCUGAUUUGUUUUUCCUACCCUAUCUUGCGGCAUGGAGGACUGCGAAGAGCUGUGAUUCGCUGUCAUUGGUGAGGGAUUUGUUCCAGAAGGGUGAGGUGUGUCCAGACAUCCUGGGGUUGAAGGAGUGGUCGAACCAGAGACCUGCAGCCUGGAUCAAGGAUACAGCAGUAGCAGCACAACGCAUGGCGAUAGAACCUGGUGUGAAUAGCGUGCAUUACUUUGAGGACCUGAGGGACCUGCAGAGGAAGUUGUUCAGGGGGAUCCUGUGGAUGUCCAGCAGGGGUCGCGACCUUUGA